AGUGAACGCUGGCGGUAGGCCUAACACAUGCAAGUCGAACGGCAGCACAGUAAGAGCUUGCUCUUACGGGUGGCGAGUGGCGGACGGGUGAGGAAUACAUCGGAAUCUACUUUUUCGUGGGGGAUAACGUAGGGAAACUUACGCUAAUACCGCAUACGACCUACGGGUGAAAGCAGGGGAUCUUCGGACCUUGCGCGAUUGAAUGAGCCGAUGUCGGAUUAGCUAGUUGGCGGGGUAAAGGCCCACCAAGGCGACGAUCCGUAGCUGGUCUGAGAGGAUGAUCAGCCACACUGGAACUGAGACACGGUCCAGAGUCCUACGGGAGGCAGCAGUGGGGAAUAUUGGACAAUGGGCGCAAGCCUGAUCCAGCCAUACCGCGUGGGUGAAGAAGGCCUUCGGGUUGUGAAGCCCUUUUGUUGGGAAAGAAAAGCAGCAGGUUAAUACCACGCUGUUCUGACGGUACCCAAAGAAUAAGCACCGGCUAACUUCGUG
rnacentral:rRNA from 1 species